GUGCUCACUUUGGCAGCACAUAUACUAAAAUUCUAAAAAUACUGAGAAGAUUAACAUGGCCCCAGCACAAGAACAACACACCAAAUUUAUAAAGCAUUACAUAUUUCA
rnacentral:snRNA from 1 species